rnacentral:rRNA from 1 species
AGUGAACGCUGGCGGUAGGCCUAACACAUGCAAGUCGAACGGCAGCACAGUAAGAGCUUGCUCUUACGGGUGGCGAGUGGCGGACGGGUGAGGAAUACAUCGGAAUCUACUUUUUCGUGGGGGAUAACGUAGGGAAACUUACGCUAAUACCGCAUACGACCUACGGGUGAAAGCAGGGGAUCUUCGGACCUUGCGCGAUUGAAUGAGCCGAUGUCGGAUUAGCUAGUUGGCGGGGUAAAGGCCCACCAAGGCGACGAUCCGUAGCUGGUCCGAGAGGAUGAUCAGCCACACUGGAACUGAGACACGGCCCAGACUCCUACGGGAGGCAGCAGUGGGGAAUAUUGGACAAUGGGCGCAAGCCUGAUCCAGCCAUACCGCGUGGGUGAAGAAGGCCUUCGGGUUGUAAAGCCCUUUUGUUGGGAAAGAAAAGCAGCAGGUUAAUACCCCGCUGUUCUGACGGUACCCAAAGAAUAAGCACCGGCUAACUUCGUG